rnacentral:rRNA from 1 species
GGAAUCUUCCACAAUGGACGAAAGUCUGAUGGAGCAACGCCGCGUGAGUGAUGAAGGGUUUCGGCUCGUAAAACACUGUUGUAAGAGAAGAAUGACAUUGAGAGUAACUGUUCAAUGUGUGACGGUAUCUUACCAGAAAGGAACGGCUAAAUACGUGCCAG